GACGAACGCUAGCGACGUGCCUAAGAAAUGCAAGUCGAGCGAGGUUUAGGAGCUUGCUCCGAAGACCUAGCGGCGAACGGUCGCGUAACACGUAAGCAACCUGCCCUAAAGUUUGGGAUAGCCCUCCGAAAGGGGGAUUAAUACCGGAUGUGGAUACUUUUUCGCUUGUGAGAGUAUCUAAAGCAGUAAUGCGCUUUAGGAUGGGCUUGCGGCCUAUCAGCUAGUUGGUGUGGGUAACGGCCUACCAAGGCGACGACGGGUAGCUGGUCUGAGAGGAUGAUCAGCCACACUGGCACUGGAACACGGGCCAGACUCCUACGGGAGGCAGCAGUGAGGAAUUUUGCGCAAUGGCCGCAAGGCUGACGCAGCAACGCCGCGUGGGUG
rnacentral:rRNA from 1 species